CCCAGUAAACGGCGGCCGUAACUAUAACGGUCCUAAGGUAGCGAAAUUCCUUGUCAGGUAAGUUCUGACCCGCAUGAAAGGCGUAAUGAUUUGGGCACUGUCUCAACAGCCCGCCCGGCGAAAUUGUAGUACCGGUGAAGAUGCCGGUUACCCGCGACAAGACGGAAAGACCCCAUGGAGCUUUACUGUAGCCUAAUAUUGGGUUUCGAUGUUGCAUGCACAGGAUAGAUGGGACACUAGGAAGCAGGUGCUUUGGCGCUUGUGGAGUGGCCGUUGGGAUACCAUCCUUGCGAUAUUGGAAUUCUAACCUGCGCCUUUGAAUCAAGGCGGGGGACAUUGUUAGGUGGGCAGUUUGACUGGGGCGGGCGCCUCCUAAAGAGUAACGGAGGCGUUCAAAGGUUCGCUCAGCUUGAACGGAAAUCAAGCAAAAGAGUGCAAACGCAGAAGCGAGCCUAACUGCGAGACUGACGGGUCGAGCAGUAACGAAAGUUGGAGUUAGUGAUCCGGUGGUAUGUGAGUGGAAAUGCCAUCGCUCAACGGAUAAAAGUUACCCUGGGGAUAACAGGCUGAUCUCCCCCAAGAGUCCACAUCGACGGGGAGGUUUGGCACCUCGAUGUCGGCUCGUCGCAUCCUGGGGCUGUAGUAGGUCCCAAGGGUUGGGCUGUUCGCCCAUUAAAGCGGUACGCGAGCUGGGUUCAGAACGUCGUGAGACAGUUCGGUCCCUAUCUGUCGUGGGCGCAGGAUAUUUGAUGGGAGCUGUUCCUAGUACGAGAGGACCGGAGCGGACGUACCUCUGGCGCACCAGUUGUUCUGCCAAGAGCAUAGCUGGGCAACUAUGUACGGAUCGGAUAAACGCUGAAAGCAUCUAAGCGUGAAGCCGACCCAAAGAUAAGAUAUCCCAUUGUUUUAAACAAGUAAGACCCCUUGAAGACUACAAGGUUGAUAGGCACGAUGUGUAAGUGGAGUGAUCCAUUCAGCAAGCGUGUACUAAUAGGUCGAGGGCUUGACCAC
rnacentral:rRNA from 1 species